rnacentral:rRNA from 1 species
CCCUUAGAUGUUCUGGGCUGCACGCGCGCUACACUGAAGCGUUCAACGAGUAUUCACCUUGCCCGGGAGGGUUGGGUAAUCUUUUGAAAACGCUUCGUGAUGGGGAUAGAUUAUUGCAAUUAUUAAUCUUCAACGAGGAAUUCCUAGUAAGCGCGAGUCAUCAGCUCGUGCUGAUUACGUCCCUGCCCUUUGUACACACCGCCCGUCGCUCCUACCGAUUGAAGUUUUCGGUGAGCUGGCAGGAGGAAUUUUUUGAAACUGGUUCGCUAGUGGAUUUUAGUUCCAAAUGCCAACGAAUCGAUGGCUUUAGAGGAAGGAGAAGUCGUAACA